rnacentral:lncRNA from 1 species
AUGAAGGAGCACAGGAUCCUGGAGGCUGUGAAGGGAGACACCCUGGUCACCCCUGCAGAGCCAGUGGAGGCUCUGGCCUGGCUGUCACAGGGACCCCAGGAUGGUCAGAGACAGGGGUGCCCGGGGACCCCAGGAUGGUCAGAGACAGGGGUGCCUGAGGUCUGGGGGCCAGUGAGAGACCCCUCCUGGCAGCAAUGCAGUCUGCUGCCCACAGAGCUUGUGGCUCCCAUGGAAUCCUGGGGCAGGUGGGACAGCUCCAAGCUGUGGGGGAAGGAGGGACUGGGGGAAAGAACAAAUGUGGGAAACAGACAUAAAAGGGGCCAGUUGUGUGUAAAAAGAAAAGAAAUAAUGGAUCACUACAGAGUACUCUUCUUUUCCAGUGGUUUGCCGGGUGCAUGGGCUCUUUCUGCUACACAGGGAGAGCCCACCUGUAUAGCCCACCCUUCCAUCAGUGUUUUACAGCUCAGGGACUUCACUCCUGCAGGAACAGACACAGCAGACACAGACUGUCUCCAGAGACUCACAUCUACUCUGUGUGAGACUCAUCAGAAGAGCUACCCUGGGGAAACUGGGAGCCACAGGCCAAAGCCUUGCUGUGAUCCAAGACCACAGGGACAAAUGUUCUCCUCCCCACCCCACCUUCCUCACCUCCCCCUCCAGGAAAGAACCAAGGACCAAGACCACACCUGUAUUUUCUGGUCUUUUAGUUUGAAAAAAGUAUUGAUUGAAAGUGUACAACUGAACAUGGGGUGGCCGCAGCACCACCGCCAGAUUGUUUCACAAAUAAAAACAGAAAGGGCCUUAAAUAAUUGGGUGCAGAUUAAAAAAACCUCAACAGUGAAAAAGUUCUUCCCUCUGAACAGAAAUUCACAGGCACAGAAAUGGCAACAACCACAUGGAGACAAUGGGGGGGACAUCCUCCUCCUCACCACGGACUCUGCGAUGCAGCGCUCCCAGGCGCAGCUCCAUCCUCACUCCCUCUCUGGAAUGGUUACAGAUGAACAGUGCGACAUGCCCUUGCUAACCAGACCCGCCCCCACCCCCCGACCAGGACACGGACAAACAAGGCCUCUGCUAAGGCUAAAAAAAGGACAAGACUUGGAGUCUUGAGUUCAGCAUGGGUAAGAAACGAGAGUCUGGUGAGCACAGCC